CUCUGGUUGUCAUUUUAAUUUUCUCCUCUUUGCAAUAAAACAGCGCUAUCUGGUGGCCUCCCAGAAGACCAAAUAGGUUUUCUGCUAAGGUAAGAGGAUGUGUGGCUAGGUCAGUAAGAUGAGGCAAGGUGAGACAGAACAAGAACUAUGUGAUGGUAGGUGUGCAGCUCUGGCCACAAGGCCUCCCUCUGUAAUUUAUGAGCGUCCCACUUGUCCUGUGCUGAGCUGGAAGUCUGAGAUGUGCAGACCCUAGUUGAGGGGCUCUACAAUAUCUGUGCCUUUGAAACACUGCAGACCUUUCCCAUCAAUGCCACAUCCCACCAGAAAAUACCAGGCUCCAAAUAGAACCACAUGCAACCUAUCCAAUCAUAAAUGGCAUGUGAGGCUUAAGGCCGCCCCUGAAGCCCUCUGGCCCAAUGAGCAUACGGGCUGAGACUCUAAACCUCCCCCAUUCCACCUUGGUCUUCCUGCCUGGGACAUUGAGCAUGCUCAGACUUGAGGUCCUUAAGGAAAUGCUGAGGAGCUGCUGAGCCGUUGGGGAGGAGUGCCUGUGGGAUCAGCAAUAUCCCCCUUCUCAUUCCUUAUAAAAUGAAACUCUGCUCUCUAUCUUCUACCAUACACAAGCUCUGCACCAAAUGAGCCAUAGACCUGAUACCCUGAAAAUGCCAAAGGACACAGUAGAGAAAAUACUCCCACAGCUAAGCACAGGUAAGGA